rnacentral:lncRNA from 1 species
UGACCUCGUGAUCCGCCCACCUCAGCCUCCCAAAGUACUUUACAGCAUGAGCCACCACGCCAAGCCUCCUUUUUUAUACAGAAUAGCCAUUUAACAUUCAGCUAAAUGGAUAUGCUGUUAAUAUAACCCAGGGUAUGUUCCACUAACAAACAAUCCCCAAAUUUCAGUGGCUUAAAACCACAAAAUUUUAUUUUUGGCUAGUGCUGUAUGUUUCUCAUGAGUUGACCAGGAGUUCUGUUCCAUGUCUACAUCAGUAAGCCAUCCAGGCAAAUGCAGCAAGCUUUAUCUAGUCAUUUUAGCAGUAGGAAAGAGAAUUUUAGAGAGACUUAUACUAAAAUUAAAUGAUUCCAUUUAAAAGUGGCAGAACUUAUUUCUGUUUAUGGCAUUGGACAAAAGGGUUAGAUGGCCAUAUACCACCUGAAUAGAAUGAGAAAAUGCUGAAAAUAUUUAGGCAUCCCUAAUAACCAGAGGGUCUAUCAUACCUUUAAAAACAGUUUUUUACUGAUGAUCCUUUAACCAUUUUCAAUUAUUUGUGCACAUGUAAUUUUGCACAUGUGCAUGUAUCUAUAGGAUAUAUUCCUGGAAGUAGAAUUUUGCAUGCAUCUUUACAGGUCUACCUGUGGCACACAGCACACCAGGAAUUUAGUUUCUCUGCUUGACAUACACUGAACACAGAUUAUUAAAAUUAUGUAUUUAUUUUUGAGGUGGGAUAUGAAAGCAAAAAGGUAUUUCAGUGGAGGUAUUUUCUUCAAAGAUCUUAGGGAUAUGUUUUAUAAUUUUGAUUUGACUAAAUGUAUUGGAUAAGGAAUAUUAUGUUUCUUGGCCUUUAGCUGCUUUAAUAUAUUUAGUUAUUAUAUGUAUCUUCCAGAAAUCUUCCAACGGCUGGGUGCAGUGGCUCAUGUCUGUAAUCCCAGCACUUCGGGAGGCCGAGGAGAGCAGAUCACUUGAGCAGUGAAUAAUAUAACUGCCUGACUAGAGAGGAGGUAUCUUAUGGUUACGACAACUGAAGACCCACCACCAAAAUAAGGAAAAAAAGACGAUCUCUAUACAAGAGUUUCAAAUUAAAAUAUACAGCACCACGCCUUGUGAAGAUUCUUUUGGCACCUCCAGCUCUUUGGCUUCCUGGGAGCAAACAUCUCUCUCUCCGUGCCAACUGUACCUUCUAAGACAGGCUGCCUUAAACACUCUCUGCAGGAAGGCAUCGAGUACCCAGAGAAGACAGCUGACUCUGAGUGGUCUCUCUCUAGUUAGCCUUUAGGGAAAUAGUUGGCCUUAAACAUAAAUGCUUUCUUGAAUUUAAAAUUUAAACCAUGAAAUGACUUUCAUUUAUAGCUUUGAGCCACUGAAAUUCCAACAUGAAAAAUUCCAAACAACAUUCUAUUAUGUACGCAUAUACAAUAAGUUCAAAAGGCAUUUC